rnacentral:rRNA from 1 species
CCUUUGUGGUUGUGUGGUGAGAGUGGCGAACGGGUGAGUAACACGUGAGUAACCUGCCUUUUUCUUUGGGAUAACGCUCAGAAAUGGGUGCUAAUACUGGAUGUUCUGCGCUUUCCGCAUGGGGGGUGUGGGAAAGGGGCCUUUGUGGUUUCUGGAGGGAGAUGGGCUCGCGGCUUAUCAGCUUGUUGGUGGGGUGAUGGCUUACCAAGGCUUUGACGGGUAGCCGGCCUGAGAGGGUGGGCGGUCACAUUGGGACUGAGAUACGGCCCAGACUCCUACGGGAGGCAGCAGUGGGGAAUUUUGCACAAUGGGGGGAACCUUGAUGCAGCGACGCCGCGUGAGGGAUGGAGGCCUUCGGGUUGUGAACCUCUUUCGCUCGUGUGCAAGCCGCUAUUUGGGUAGUGGUGAUUUAGCGG